UACGUAGGGUGCAAGCGUUGUCCGGAAUUAUUGGGCGUAAAGAGCUCGUAGGCGGUCUGUCGCGUCGGCUGUGAAAACCCGGAGCUCAACUCCGGGCCUGCAGUCGAUACGGGCAGACUGGAGUUCGGCAGGGGAGACUGGAAUUCCUGGUGUAGCGGUGAAAUGCGCAGAUAUCAGAAGGAACACCGGUGGCGAAGGCGGGUCUCUGGGCCGAUACUGACGCUGAGGAGCGAAAGCGUGGGGAGCGAACAGG
rnacentral:rRNA from 1 species